rnacentral:rRNA from 1 species
GACCUGCGGAGGAUCAUUACCGAGAUAGGGUCCCCUGGGCCCAAACCUCCCACCCAAUGUGUACCUACCUUUGUUGCUUUGGCGGGCCGUGGGGCCUCGGCCCCCCGUCGACCUCGGUGGACGUGCGCCCGUCAGAGACCCCCCAAACUCAGUUCAUCAGUGACGUCCGAGCGAAACACAAAUCGAAGCAAAACUUUCAACAACGGAUCUCUUGGUUCUGGCAUCGAUGAAGAACGCAGCGAAAUGCGAUAAGUAAUGUGAAUUGCAGAAUUCAGUGAAUCAUCGAAUCUUUGAACGCAUAUUGCGCCCCCUGGUAUUCCGGAGGGCAUGCCUGUUCGAGCGUCAUUACACCCCUCGAGCCUAGCUCGGUGUUGGGCGUCGCCCCCCGGGGGUGCACCCGAAAGUCAGCGGCGGCGCGGUCGGUCCUCAAGCGUAGUAAAACUUUUCGUUCCGCUAUGAUGGCCCGGCCCCGUCCGCCGGACAACCCCCCCACUUCCACGAUUGACCUCGGAUCAGGUAGGGAUACCCGCUGAACUUAAGCAUAUCA